rnacentral:rRNA from 1 species
GGUCCAGACUCCUACGGGAGGCAGCAGUGAGGAAUAUUGGUCAAUGGCCGAGAGGCUGAACCAGCCAAGUCGCGUGAGGGAAGACGGCCCUACGGGUUGUAAACCUCUUUUGUCAGGGAGCAACGCCGGCUACGUGUAGCCGGACUGAGAGUACCUGAAGAAAAAGCAUCGGCUAACUCCGUGCCAGCAGCCGCGGUAAUACGGAGGAUGCGAGCGUUAUCCGGAUUUAUUGGGUUUAAAGGGUGCGCAGGCGGAAUGUCAAGUCAGCGGUAAAAUUUCGGGGCUCAACCCCGUCGUGCCGUUGAAACUGGCGUUCUUGAGUGAGCGAGAAGUAUGCGGAAUGCGUGGUGUAGCGGUGAAAUGCAUAGAUAUCACGCAGAACUCCGAUUGCGAAGGCAGCAUACCGGCGCUCAACUGACGCUCAUGCACGAAAGCGUGGGUAUCGAACAGGAUUAGAUACCCGAGUA